UACAGAGACUGCAAGCGUUAUUCGGAUUCACUGGGCGUAAAGGGUGCGCAGGCGGCCAAGUGUGUCAGGUGUGAAAUCCCGAGGCUUAACCUCGGAACUGCGCCUGAAACUACUUGGCUAGAGUACUGGAGAGGGUAACGGAAUUCACGGUGUAGCAGUGAAAUGCGUAGAUAUCGUGAGGAACACCAGAGGCGAAGGCGGUUACCUGGACAGUUACUGACGCUCAGGCACGAAAGCGUGGGGAGCGAACAGG
rnacentral:rRNA from 1 species